CGCGGGAUUAGAGUUUGAUCAUGGCUCAGAUUGAACGCUGGCGGCAGGCCUAACACAUGCAAGUCGAGCGGUAACAGGAAGAAAGCUUGCUUUCUUUGCUGACGAGCGGCGGACGGGUGAGUAAUGCCUAGGGAUCUGCCCAGUCGUGGGGGAUAACAGUUGGAAACGACUGCUAAUACCGCAUACGCCCUACGGGGGAAAGGAGGGGACCUUCGGGCCUUCCGCGAUUGGAUGAACCUAGGUGGGAUUAGCUAGUUGGUGAGGUAAUGGCUCACCAAGGCAACGAUCCCUAGCUGGUCUGAGAGGAUGAUCAGCCACACUGGAACUGAGACACGGUCCAGACUCCUACGGGAGGCAGCAGUGGGGAAUAUUGCACAAUGGGCGAAAGCCUGAUGCAGCCAUGCCGCGUGUGUGAAGAAGGCCUUCGGGUUGUAAAGCACUUUCAGCGAGGAGGAAAGGUUAAUAGUUAAUAAUUAUUAGCUGUGACGUUACUCGCAGAAGAAGCACCGGCUAACUUCGUGCCAGCAGCCGCGGUAAUACGAGGGGUGCAAGCGUUAAUCGGAAUUACUGGGCGUAAAGCGUACGCAGGCGGUUCGUUAAGCGAGAUGUGAAAGCCCCGGGCUCAACCUGGGAACUGCAUUUCGAACUGGCAAACUAGAGUCCUGUAGAGGGGGGUAGAAUUUCA
rnacentral:rRNA from 1 species